rnacentral:rRNA from 1 species
AGUCGAACGAUGAAGCCCUUCGGGGUGGAUUAGUGGCGAACGGGUGAGUAACACGUGGGCAAUCUGCCCUUCACUCUGGGACAAGCCCUGGAAACGGGGUCUAAUACCGGAUACCACUCCUGCCUGCAUGGGCGGGGGUUGAAAGCUCCGGCGGUGAAGGAUGAGCCCGCGGCCUAUCAGCUUGUUGGUGGGGUAAUGGCCCACCAAGGCGACGACGGGUAGCCGGCCUGAGAGGGCGACCGGCCACACUGGGACUGAGACACGGCCCAGACUCCUACGGGAGGCAGCAGUGGGGAAUAUUGCACAAUGGGCGAAAGCCUGAUGCAGCGACGCCGCGUGAGGGAUGACGGCCUUCGGGUUGUAAACCUCUUUCAGCAGGGAAGAAGCGAAAGUGACGGUACCUGCAGAAGAAGCGCCGGCUAACUACGUGCCAGCAGCCGCGGUAAUACGUAGGGCGCAAGCGUUGUCCGGAAUUAUUGGGCGUAAAGAGCUCGUAGGCGGCUUGUCACGUCGGAUGUGAAAGCCCGAGGCUUAACCUCGGGUCUGCAUUCGAUACGGGCUAGCUAGAGUGUGGUAGGGGAGAUCGGAAUUCCUGGUGUAGCGGUGAAAUGCGCAGAUAUCAGGAGGAACACCGGUGGCGAAGGCGGAUCUCUGGGCCAUUACUGACGCUGAGGAGCGAAAGCGUGGGGAGCGAACAGGAUUAGAUACCCUGGUAGUCCACGCCGUAAACGUUGGGAACUAGGUGUUGGCGACAUUCCACGUCGUCGGUGCCGCAGCUAACGCAUUAAGUUCCCCGCCUGGGGAGUACGGC